rnacentral:rRNA from 1 species
UACGGAGGAUCCGAGCGUUAUCCGGAUUUAUUGGGUUUAAAGGGUGCGCAGGCGGGAGAUUAAGUAGGCGGUGAAAUUUUGCAGCUCAACUGUAAAAGUGCCUUCGAUACUGGUUUCCUUGAGUGUGGAUGAAGUAGGCGGAAUUUGUGGUGUAGCGGUGAAAUGCUUAGAUAUCACGAGGAACUCCGAUUGCGCAGGCAGCUUACUAAACCACUACUGACGCUCAGGCACGAAGGCGUGGGGAUCAAACAGGAUUAGAUACCCGUGUA